rnacentral:ncRNA from 1 species
GACCCCGUGAGAAUGCCCUGUAUUCGCCCGCCCGUGGGAAAAAGGAGCCGAUAUUAGGCACAACCCUACCGUUAGCCCACAACAUCUUGCUCAGCCACACCCCCAAGGGAGACAGCAGUAACAAACAUUAAGCAAUGAGUGUAAACUUGACUUAGUUAAAAUCAAAAGGGCCGGUUAAACUCGUGCCAGCCACCGCGGUUACACGAGAGGCCCGAGUUGACAAAAGCCGGCGUAAAGAGUGGUUAAUAACUUCCAAACUAAAGCCAAACACCUUCAGAGCUGUCAUACGCAACCGAAGGCAGGAAGACCCCCAACGAAAGUGGCUUUAACAUUAAUGAACCCACGAAAGCUAGGGAACAAACUGGGAUUAGAUACCCCACUAUGCCUAGCCAUAAACAUAAGUGAUCCAACUACUAUACCAUUCGCCAGGGAACAACGAGCCCCAGCUUAAAACCCAAAGGACUUGGCGGUGCUUUAGACCCCCCUAGAGGAGCCUGUUCUAGAACCGAUACUCCCCGUUCAACCUCACCUUCUCUUGUUUUCCCCGCCUAUAUACCGCCGUCGUCAGCUUACCCUGUGAAGGACAAACAGUGAGCAAAAUUGGCAAAGCCCAAAACGUCAGGUCGAGGUGUAGCGCACGAGAAGGGAAGAAAUGGGCUACAUUUACUGUACCAGUAAACACGGACAAUGCAUUGAAACAAGCAUCUAAAGGAGGAUUUAGCAGUAAGAGAAGAAUAGAGCGCCUCUCUGAAAACGGCCCUGAAGCGCGCACACACCGCCCGUCACUCUCCCCGAAAACCGCACAAAAUAAAUAAUAUAACUAAGCCCACCAAAAAGGGGAGGCAAGUCGUAACAUGGUAAGUGUACCGGAAGGUGCACUUGGAAAACU